GACGAACCGUGCAAACGUUAUUCGGAAUCACUGGGCUUAAAGCGCGUGUAGGCGGGCCAGCACGUCGGUCGCUGAAAUCCCCCGGCUCAACCGGGGAACGGGCGCCGAUACGACUGGCCUGGAGGGAGGUAGGGGGAGCCGGAACUCACGGUGGAGCGGUGAAAUGCGUUGAGAUCGUGAGGAACGCCCGUGGCGAAAGCGGGCUCCUGGACCUCGCCUGACGCUGAGACGCGAAAGCCAGGGGAGCGAACGGG
rnacentral:rRNA from 1 species